rnacentral:rRNA from 1 species
UACAGAGGGUGCGAGCGUUGUCCGGAAUCACUGGGCGUAAAGGGCGCGUAGGUGGCCUGAUAAGUAGGGGGUGAAAUCUCGAGGCUCAACUUCGAGGCUGCCUCCUAAACUGUCAGGCUUGAGCAGAGUAGAGGCAGGUGGAAUUCCCGGUGUAGCGGUGGAAUGCGUAGAGAUCGGGAAGAACAUCGAUGGCGAAGGCGGCCUGCUGGGCUGUUGCUGACACUGAGGCGCGACAGCGUGGGGAGCAAACAGG